CCUGGCUCCUGCCUCGGGAGCCCAGGGCCAGAAGGGCAAGGGCAGUGGAGAUGCUGACUGGGGAAAAGAAAAUGUUCUUGAUGGGUUCCUUCUUGUGUGUAUCCCACAUCUGGCUAUGGAAAGAGUACAAGUUGCUGCUGUCCCUUGGAGCGCUUGUGAAGGUCAGGUUUUAUGCUUGUGCAGAAAAGUCUUAGGAUCAAAAUCUAGGAUGGAAGAAACCUCCAGAGGCCACCUAGUCCAGCCCUUUGCACAAAACAUCAGCUUUCUCAGUAAAGAAACUGAAUUAUUUCUUUAAGGGACCCCCGUGUUAUACUAUCCAAAAACUAGCCAAAAGCCCUUUUUUCCAGAUGAAAUAACAAAAAUGGAAAACCCAUGUUGUAUUUGAAGAAGAGAAAUAUUACUUUUUUCCAGGCCUUUGCAGGAGUCAGGUAACUACAGAUAUCUUUGUCUCCUGGCCAAAUGACAGAGCACAAGCCAGGAAUAUAAUAUAUAGAAGAACUACUGAGUCAAUAUUAUGGCUUUCCAUUAAGAAGACCUGGAACCAUUUGAGUGAAAUGCAUUUGUUUGUUUUGUUCUUACUUUCACCUUUUGCAGUCUCCUAGGAGCCAGUGCCACAAUUAAAUACACCCCAUUCCGGAAGCCAGGUUAUCUAGCUCUGUUUUAGCCCCUCUAAUACUUCAGACCUCUUAACUCUCUCUUGGCAUUCAUCUACAUGCCACAAAGGUGAUCAACCUGUGCACACUUUGUGCAGGUACCAGCCUUUUCUCCAGAGGAAGCAUCUGGGCAUCCAUUGCAAGCUACCACCUGUACUGACAUCUCCUUCCUUACCAGUCCUGCCUGGGUGGAGGCUCCUCAGAGCUGUCUCAGUAGACACACUGGUUUGGGCUCUGAGGCAAGAGCCCACCUUUACAGCAGAGACCUAGAGCACUUAGCACUUACCUGAGCUGUGGACCUCCUUGCAGACUGUGGUGCCCUGCCUGCACGCCCUGCCCACACCAAGAGCUGCACCACGCCCGACGUGACACGCACUGGCCAUGCACUCCCAGAGCCAUUUACAUCUCCUGUGGAUGCCCUGGCAGCAUCCCCUCCUCACCAGGUUGGCUCACAGGAGCUCAUGGAUCCUGACAGGCCCUGGGCUGCUGCUCAGGUGCCCCUGAGCAUAGGUGAUUCUGCUGCUGGUAACUCAUUCUGAUAUGCCAGGAGUAUGCAGGGGGCAUUUGAGGUUACCAAUGCCCUUUGAAGGUGGUGGGAGAGCACUACUUUGAGGCAUAUAUCUAUCACACAGAUUUCCUGAGCCUAGAGGUUAUUGUGAUCAGCAGGUGAUGGCUGCUGGCUAAGAGGAUAUUGGCCUUGGCAUGUUCAUAGCUGCUGAGUUCCUGAUGGCAACUGAGGCCACAUUUUCAGUCUUGAUUAAUCACCAAGCUCCUUAAAAACUGAGAAAUUAAUAAAGUAUUUCCCAGGAAUAUCUGUUAAUUACCAAUUGUGUGACAAUUACUAGACUAUCAGAAAGCAAAAUUAAAUGCAUGGCAUAAUAGAAUAAUAGAAUGGUUUAGGCUAGAAGGGACUGUGAAAAUCAUCUAGUUCCCAAGCCAUGCCAUGGGCAAGGACACUUUCCGCUACACCAGGUUUUCUCAAGGCCCCAUCCAGCCAGACCACUGACACUAUUAGGGAUGGGGCAUCCAUAACUUCUCUGGGUAACCUGUUUCAGUGCCUUAUCAUCCUCACAGUAAAAAAUUCAAUCUUAAUAACUAAUCUAACCUACUCCCUUUCCAUUUGAAGUAAUUCCCCCUUGUUAUGUCACUCCAGGCCCUUUUAAAAAGUCCCUCUCCAUCUUUCCUGUAGGGUCUCUUAAGGUACUACAAAGCUGCAAUUAGGUAACCCCAAAGCCUUCUUUUCCCCAGGCUGAACAAUUCCAAUUCUCUUAGAAUUUCUUCAUAGGAGAGGUGUUCCAUCCUUAUUUUGUGCAUAAAACAGAAUAUUAGUUAGUCUUUCCAGCAGAAUAUGUAAUUUGUUUCCAGCCCAUGACAUUUAAGGCUGUUGCUUCUGUCAUGUGCUUUUUGUUUCUCCCUAGUGGAUGCUCUACAACACUGGGAACCCAACGACAGACCUGUGCACUGGCACUAACCACUGGCUGUUGGAAAUAUGUCAUUUUCUUUUAUACCUCAAACAUACUAUUUCUUUCUCUGGCCCCACAACAAUAUACAGUUUCCUGCAUUACCUUGUUUCUUCUUUUAUGGUCUUUAACACUACUUAAAAAUGCCUCUGGUUUUCUUUCAGUGUCUGUUGAACUUCACAUAAUUUGUAGAUAACAGUUAAAUCUAUCUCCACCAUGGGUUAGCCUGGGUUUCUUAGCUUCUCAUUUAUAUCUUUAGUCUUUGUUUCACUUCUAGCUCCUAAAUAUGACAACAAAUACAGUUUACUGAUUGUUCUCCUUUUCUCCUUUUCUCCACACUGCUUGUUCUCCUUUUCUCCUUAUUUCAGAGAGUGUCUCGGUGUGUGCUGUCCCAAAGUUUCUACCAUGUUGCCAAUUCUUUUUCUAUGCCCAUCAACCUACAAGAGAAGACUUCUUUUAGCCUUUACAGAGGCUACUUUGAUCCAUACCAUCCCAGAUUUCCCUCAGGGUCUGCACAGGCAGCACUGAGGCUGCAGCUCGUGCGCGCAUGGUUGCAUGUGCUCCCACGUCACAUCUGUGUGUAGACAGACACCAGUGCAGGCUGCAUUAGAAGAUUUCCUUUGCACUUUGUCCCUCAUGUGGCUCAUCAUGCCAGCUCCAGCCUCCAGCAAUGCCCCUGCACUGAGGUGGCCCAUCACAGUUUUUGCACUCAACAGCAGCAGCAGCUCUCAACCAGCUAGGAUGAAAGUCCUUCCCUGGUUACUCUGAGGUUUCUUGGUCACAAUACUCACAGCCAGAGAGCCAACCAAGAAACAAAAACCCAUGAAAGAAGAUGCAGAAAAGAAGCAGACUGAAAAAAGAAACAGUGUCCUGAGCAAACCGUGACUGCAGUGGGUUUGUGACAACCUUAAUGCUGACAUUUUUGGUGGGGGCUUGUGCAAUCCUUUUGUGCUCCUUAUUUACUGCACAAAUUUGCUACAAAUUUGCUGCACAUUUUCAGUGAGGGGCAUGCCCUGUUUUUUUGCCAAAAUAGAAUGAAAACCAAGGCAAGAUGUGUAUGGUUCCUACACCCAUCUGAAAAUGAUUCCUUAUCAAGACAUUUUCUGGUCAUCCAGUUCUUAAAUCAGCUUCAUUUUUGUAUAUCCACUUUCAAAUGAAUUAAGAGGAAAGGCUACUUCUCAGAUUGAGAUGUGGUGGGCAAGAUAGGAUUUAGAUAUUUUUUUUCUUACCAACAAACAGAGACUAUUGAUCUGAGGUCCAUGAGGAACAACAAACACAGUCUCUUGAUAUUUGCCUACACAAGUAUUUGUCAUUGCAAAGCUGGACUUUGGCAAUUCAUCCUGAGUUAGCCCUGAGAUUUGGCAAGAAGUUUUAAAUGGUCUUCUGUAGAAUAAAUUUAUCUGUAUUACACUGAGACCAAGUCCUUAUAUGUUUAUAGGCAUGAAGCCAGCUACUUGUUACAAAAUACAGAACUUACUAAAUACAGUUAUGAGUAAGGAACUUUUGUCAUUGAUUUAUGUGAUUUUGAGGAUGAAUUUGAAAGUGAAUAUUGAGUGUUACCUGUCUGCAGAUAGACAUAGAAUGUUUU